rnacentral:rRNA from 1 species
CCUACGGGUGGCAGCAGUGAGGAAUAUUGGUCAAUGGACGCAAGUCUGAACCAGCCAUGCCGCGUGCAGGAAGACGGUUCUAUGAGUUGUAAACCGCUUUUGUACGAGGGUAAACGCAGAUACGUGUCUCUGUCUGAAAGUAUCUUACGAAUAAGGAUCGGCUAACUCCGUGCCAGCAGCCGCGGUAAUACGGAGGAUUCAAGCGUUAUCCGGAUUUAUUGGGGUUAAAGGGUGCGUAGGCGGUCUGAUAAGUUAGAGGUGAAAUCCCGAGGCUCAACUUCGGAAUUGCCUUUGAUACUGUUCGGCUAGAGAGUAGUAGAGGUAGGCGGAAUGCAUGGUGUAGCGGUGAAAUGCGUAGAGAUCAUACAGAACACCGAUUGCGAAGGCAGCUUACCAGGAUACUUCUGACGUUGAGGCACGAAAGCGUGGGGAGCAAACAGGAUUAGAUACCCCAGUAGUC